CAAAACACAAGCUCUGCUAACGGGGUAGGAUCCGACGCCUCGCAGAAGGCUAACAUAGGCUCUCCUACCCAACUCCCAUUCCGGCACGUCCCCGUCGUGCAGAGCGGUAACAUGCGCCGCCGGGAAUGCUACUGGGAAGAUAUGGCGGCUUUCCAGUAGCACGGUUGGCGCAUGGCAAAGCCGGAGGGA
rnacentral:ribozyme from 1 species